rnacentral:rRNA from 1 species
UACGAAGGGGGCUAGCGUUGCUCGGAAUCACUGGGCGUAAAGCGCACGUAGGCGGACUUUUAAGUCGGUGGUGAAAUCCUGGAGCUCAACUCCAGAACUGCCUCCGAUACUGAGAGUCUUCGAGUCCGGGAGAGGUGAGUGGAACUGCGAGUGUAGAGGUGAAAUUCGUAGAUAUUCGCAAGAACACCAGUGGCGAAGGCGGCUCACUGGCCCGGUACUGACGCUGAGGUGCGAAAGCGUGGGGAGCGAACAGG